GUGGAUCAGUGGCGAACGGGUGAGUAACACGUGAGUAACCUGCCCUUGACUCUGGGAUAAGCGUUGGAAACGACGUCUAAUACCGGAUACGAACCGCAACCGCAUGGUUAGUGGUUGGAAAGAUUUUUUGGUCAAGGAUGGACUCGCGGCCUAUCAGCUUGUUGGUGAGGUAAUGGCUCACCAAGGCGACGACGGGUAGCCGGCCUGAGAGGGUGACCGGCCACACUGGGACUGAGACACGGCCCAGACUCCUACGGGAGGCAGCAGUGGGGAAUAUUGCACAAUGGGCGCAAGCCUGAUGCAGCAACGCCGCGUGAGGGAUGACGGCCUUCGGGUUGUAAACCUCUUUUAGUAGGGAAGAAGCGAAAGUGACGGUACCUGCAGAAAAAGCACCGGCUAACUACGUGCCAGCAGCCGCGGUAAUACGUAGGGUGCAAGCGUUGUCCGGAAUUAUUGGGCGUAAAGAGCUCGUAGGCGGUUUGUCGCGUCUGCUGUGAAAACUGGAGGCUCAACCUCCAGCCUGCAGUGGGUACGGGCAGACUAGAGUGCGGUAGGGGAGAUUGGAAUUCCUGGUGUAGCGGUGGAAUGCGCAGAUAUCAGGAGGAACACCGAUGGCGAAGGCAGAUCUCUGGGCCGUAACUGACGCUGAGGAGCGAAAGCGUGGGGAGCGAACAGGAUUAGAUACCCUGGUAGUCCACGCCGUAAACGUUGGGAACUAGAUGUGGGGGCCAUUCCACGGUCUCCGUGUCGCAGCUAACGCAUUAAGUUCCCCGCCUGGGGAGUACGGCCGCAAGGCUAAAACUCAAGGAAUUGAC
rnacentral:rRNA from 1 species